rnacentral:tRNA from 1 species
UCUAAUAUAGUAUUAAGAAAAACAUAAAAUUUAGGAUUUUAAGAUAGAUAUUAUCUUAUUAGAA